rnacentral:rRNA from 1 species
ACGCCCAGUAAUUCCGAACAACGCUAGCUCCCUCCGUAUUACCGCGGCUGCUGGCACGGAGUUAGCCGGAGCUUAUUCUCCCGGUACUGUCAUUAUCAUCCCGGGUAAAAGAGCUUUACAACCCUAAGGCCUUCAUCACUCACGCGGCAUUGCUGGAUCAGGCUUUCGCCCAUUGUCCAAUAUUCCCCACUGCUGCCUCCCGUAGGAGUCUGGGCCGUGUCUCAGUCCCAGUGUGGCUGAUCAUCCUCUCAGACCAGCUAAGGAUCGUCGCCUUGGUGCGCCUUUACCACACCAACUAGCUAAUCCUACGCGGGCUCAUCCCUCGGCGAUAAAUCUUUGAACUUACGUCGUCAUCCGGUAUUAGCCGUCGUUUCC